GACAUAGGGCGCGAGCGUUGUCCGGAUUUAUUGGGCGUAAAGAGCUCGUAGGCGGCUUGUUGCGUCGGCUGUGAAAACCCAUGGCUCAACCGUGGGCUUGCAGCCGAUACGGGCAGGCUAGAGUUCGGUAGGGGAGACUGGAAUUCCUGGUGUAGCGGUGAAAUGCGCAGAUAUCAGGAGGAACACCGGUGGCGAAGGCGGGUCUCUGGGCCGAUACUGACGCUGAGGAGCGAAAGCGUGGGGAGCGAACAGG
rnacentral:rRNA from 1 species